rnacentral:rRNA from 1 species
UCAGAUCACGUAAAAUUUUAAUAGUCGAACAGACUAACCCCCUCUAGCUUCUUCACCAAAAUAAAAAUUAAUUCAACAUCGAGGUCACAAACUUCAAUUAUUAAUAAGAACUUGCUAAUUAAAUAAUGCUGUUAUCCCUAGAGUAACUUAAUUCUUUAUCCUUCUCAUCUUUCAAAAAUUUUUAUCUUCAAAUGUUGCCCCAACAAAAAAUUACUCCUUCAGCAUUUUAAGCUUCUAGGGUCUUCUCGUCCCAAAGUUUUAUAAAAGCAUUUUUACUUUUAAUUUAAAUUCAAAAUAAUCAAAUAAAACCUUCUCUUCAGUUUUAACCUUUCAUUCCAGUCUCCAAUUAAAAGA